rnacentral:lncRNA from 1 species
CGAUGUUCUGCCAAAAUCUUUCCUCUGCAUCACAACAGACAAGUAAUAGCCCUUAUGCACAUUCCAUGAUCUGCCAAAAUCUUUCCUCUGCAUCACAACAGACAAAUGGUGUUAAAGCACUCCGAACCAGUGAUAGUGGUCCAAAGCCACUGCUCCUGUGUUGCAGGAAGUGCUCUGUUCAAUCAUCUGGUGGCCCUUCUUUACCAGACAGCGCACUACUCUCAGCUAAACAUUCCUGCUGCACCACCAGUUCACAGCUGCACAGACACAGAACAGCGUUGGCACAAGCCAAGAACACUUGGUGUGAAACCAGGUCCGGUUGAUGGGAUAGAGUUCCGUAAACCUACUAACUCGUGUGCUGAUGGAAUAAGAAGUUCUCUCUACAAAACACUCAAUGGAUACAUGCCUGACAUGGACCUUCUCCGCCUCCCAGAAACGUAUGCCAACUUUUCUCCACUUACUGCCCCGCUUGUGACAACAAUGGAAAUGUCAGCUGACGUGCCCCUGGUUGAGUCUGCCUUUGGGCCAGUGCAAGCCGGCAGUGUUCUGUCCUAUCAGCUUCCACAGCCAAAGACCCGUGAAAUUGUGAAGAUUGCCGAUGCCACUUCUCCACCAAUACUUCCAUUAGAUGGCUACAGGCUUCAGGCUUCCCAGUGUGCUUACGUCCUUAGCCAUCAGGAGCAGUUCCACCUCAAGGCAUUAGAGACAACCUACGAGAUGUCACACAAAGUCGAGGUUGCUACAAGGGAGCAGAGCAGCAUCCCGGAAUGGCAUCAGCUCAGGAAAAUGAGAAUUACAUCCUCUCGUUUCCGAGAGGUUUGCCAUGUCCGGGGAUAGACCUCAGCUGACCACCUAGCUGAGCGGAUGUUCAAGGGAUCUGGUAUGCAGACCAUGGAGAUGAAGAGGGGGCUGGUCAUGGAGCCAGAGGCUGUACAGGAGUACUGCACACUGAAGAAUGUUAACUUCUUUCCGUGUGGCUUCGUAGUGCACCCAGAUGCUCCGUGGUUAGGAUCCUCUCCAGAUGGAAUGAUAUUUGAUCACAGUGUGAGACCACACUUUGGACUCUUAGAGGUCAAGUGCCCAAAUGUACCAAGUUAUGUUGACUGCUCUUAUCUGAAGAUACAGAAUGGAGAGCUGAAGUUGAAGAGAUCUCAUGCGUACUACUGGCAGGUGCAAGGUCAAAUCCUUCUCACAGGUUGUAGCUGGUGUGACUUUGUCAUCUGUGCACAGGAGGACAUCCUAGUUGAAAGGAUAUAUACAGAUCUACAGUUUUCAAAAACUAUAAGAGAGAAGGUUGACCACUUUUAUUUUUACCACUACUUGCAGAAGUGUCUAUCUCGCACCUGAAUGGAUGCCCUGCAUGGGUGCUAAGUUUAGUGGUUUUAUGAAAAAUAACUAUUGAUGUUCUUGUGAAGAAAUCUACAGUAGAAUAGAUUUGUUUAAAAAAAAUGUAUUUCAGCAAAUGUUCAACAGUUCAAUUAAUCAAUUACACAUCUCUAACAUUGUAUUCAAUCUUGCAUUCUGGCUAUUCUGUGUUUACUUGAUUUCUUUCUCCCACCCCUGUUACUCAUUGCCUAAUUAAAGCCAAUACAAGCU